UACGGAGGAUGCAAGCGUUAUCCGGAAUGAUUGGGCGUAAAGGGUCCGCAGGUGGAACUGAAAGUCUGCUGUUAAAGAGUCUGGCUCAACCAGAUAAAAGCAGUGGAAACUACAGAACUAGAGUACGUUCGGGGCAGAAGGAAUUCCUGGUGUAGCGGUGAAAUGCGUAGAUAUCAGGAAGAACACCGGUGGCGAAAGCGUUCUGCUAGGCCGUAACUGACACUGAGGGACGAAAGCUAGGGGAGCGAAU
rnacentral:rRNA from 1 species